rnacentral:misc_RNA from 1 species
GACUACGAGGCGACCACCUUCUCCAUCUUCUACAACAACGCCUUCUACCUGGUGCUCCUCAUCCUCUGCUCCUUCUACGUCCUCAAGAACUUCAGCCCCAUGUUUAAUUACCUGAUGUCUGUGGGACUAGCCGCUGGACUUCUGGCCCUGUUCUCUACCAGUAACAAAUGAAUUACCGCCCAAAUAGAGCAACAACAGCUGGCGUGUAUGGGGAAGAGGGAACCGCCUGGUCAAAUUGACAGCCACAAAAGUCAUCAAAACACUAUCACUUACUUUUAUACAAAAAGUCUUGUUUCAGUAGUUAAAAGUUUUUGUAUAUUUUUUAUGGACUUCUUAAAAUUGUACUAUAAAACAUUUGGUAUAAAACCUAAGAGAAAAAAAGAAAACUUUUUGUUGUAGAAUUAAAUUUUAAUGAAC